AGCGAACGCUGGCGGCAGGCUUAACACAUACAAGUCGAGCGGGCAUCCUUGUGGUGUCAGCGGCAGACGGGUGAGUAACGCGUGGGAACGUGCCCUUCGGUUCGGAAUAACUCAGGGAAACUUGAGCUAAUACCGGAUACGUGCGAGAGCAGAAAGGUUUAUCUGCCGAAGGAUCGGCCCGCGUCUGAUUAGCUAGUUGGUGAGGUUAUGGCUCACCAAGGCGACGAUCAGUAGCUGGUCUGAGAGGAUGAUCAGCCACACUGGGACUGAGACACGGCCCAGACUCCUACGGGAGGCAGCAGUGGGGAAUAUUGGACAAUGGGGGCAACCCUGAUCCAGCCAUGCCGCGUGAGUGAUGACGGCCUUAGGGUUGUAAAGCUCUUUUCUCCGGGACGAUAAUGACGGUACCGGAGGAAUAAGCCCCGGCUAACUUCGUG
rnacentral:rRNA from 1 species